rnacentral:rRNA from 1 species
UACAGGGGGUGCAAACGUUGCUCGGAAUCAUUGGGCGUAAAGCGCGCGUAGGCGGUUACUUAAGUCGGAUGUGAAAGCCCUCGGCUCAACUGAGGAAGUGCAUCCGAAACUGAGUAGCUUGAGUACGAAAGAGGGUCGCGGAAUUCCCGGUGUAGAGGUGAAAUUCGUAGAUAUCGGGAGGAACACCAGUGGCGAAGGCGAGUCCCUGGACAAUUCCUGACGCUGAGGCACGAAAGCCAGGGGAGCAAACAGG